UUAAGCGACUAAGCGUACACGGUGGAUGCCCUGGCAGUCAGAGGCGAUGAAGGACGUGCUAAUCUGCGAUAAGCGUCGGUAAGGUGAUAUGAACCGUUAUAACCGGCGAUUUCCGAAUGGGGAAACCCAGUGUGUUUCGACACACUAUCAUUAACUGAAUCCAUAGGUUAAUGAGGCGAACCGGGGGAACUGAAACAUCUAAGUACCCCGAGGAAAAGAAAUCAACCGAGAUUCCCCCAGUAGCGGCGAGCGAACGGGGAGCAGCCCAGAGCCUGAAUCAGUGUGUGUGUUAGUGGAAGCGUCUGGAAAGGCGCGCGAUACAGGGUGACAGCCCCGUACACAAAAAUGCACAUACUGUGAGCUCGAUGAGUAGGGCGGGACACGUGGUAUCCUGUCUGAAUAUGGGGGGACCAUCCUCCAAGGCUAAAUACUCCUGACUGACCGAUAGUGAACCAGUACCGUGAGGGAAAGGCGAAAAGAACCCCGGCGAGGGGAGUGAAAAAGAACCUGAAACCGUGUACGUACAAGCAGUGGGAGCACGCUUAGGCGUGUGACUGCGUACCUUUUGUAUAAUGGGUCAGCGACUUAUAUUCUGUAGCAAGGUUAACCGAAUAGGGGAGCCGAAGGGAAACCGAGUCUUAACUGGGCGUUAAGUUGCAGGGUAUAGACCCGAAACCCGGUGAUCUAGCCAUGGGCAGGUUGAAGGUUGGGUAACACUAACUGGAGGACCGAACCGACUAAUGUUGAAAAAUUAGCGGAUGACUUGUGGCUGGGGGUGAAAGGCCAAUCAAACCGGGAGAUAGCUGGUUCUCCCCGAAAGCUAUUUAGGUAGCGCCUCGUGAAUUCAUCUCCGGGGGUAGAGCACUGUUUCGGCAAGGGGGUCAUCCCGACUUACCAACCCGAUGCAAACUGCGAAUACCGGAGAAUGUUAUCACGGGAGACACACGGCGGGUGCUAACGUCCGUCGUGAAGAGGGAAACAACCCAGACCGCCAGCUAAGGUCCCAAAGUCAUGGUUAAGUGGGAAACGAUGUGGGAAGGCCCAGACAGCCAGGAUGUUGGCUUAGAAGCAGCCAUCAUUUAAAGAAAGCGUAAUAGCUCACUGGUCGAGUCGGCCUGCGCGGAAGAUGUAACGGGGCUAAACCAUGCACCGAAGCUGCGGCAGCGACGCUUAUGCGUUGUUGGGUAGGGGAGCGUUCUGUAAGCCUGUGAAGGUGUGCUGUGAGGCAUGCUGGAGGUAUCAGAAGUGCGAAUGCUGACAUAAGUAACGAUAAAGCGGGUGAAAAGCCCGCUCGCCGGAAGACCAAGGGUUCCUGUCCAACGUUAAUCGGGGCAGGGUGAGUCGACCCCUAAGGCGAGGCCGAAAGGCGUAGUCGAUGGGAAACAGGUUAAUAUUCCUGUACUUGGUGUUACUGCGAAGGGGGGACGGAGAAGGCUAUGUUGGCCGGGCGACGGUUGUCCCGGUUUAAGCGUGUAGGCUGGUUUUCCAGGCAAAUCCGGAAAAUCAAGGCUGAGGCGUGAUGACGAGGCACUACGGUGCUGAAGCAACAAAUGCCCUGCUUCCAGGAAAAGCCUCUAAGCAUCAGGUAACAUCAAAUCGUACCCCAAACCGACACAGGUGGUCAGGUAGAGAAUACCAAGGCGCUUGAGAGAACUCGGGUGAAGGAACUAGGCAAAAUGGUGCCGUAACUUCGGGAGAAGGCACGCUGAUAUGUAGGUGAAGCGACUUGCUCGUGGAGCUGAAAUCAGUCGAAGAUACCAGCUGGCUGCAACUGUUUAUUAAAAACACAGCACUGUGCAAACACGAAAGUGGACGUAUACGGUGUGACGCCUGCCCGGUGCCGGAAGGUUAAUUGAUGGGGUCAGCGCAAGCGAAGCUCUUGAUCGAAGCCCCGGUAAACGGCGGCCGUAACUAUAACGGUCCUAAGGUAGCGAAAUUCCUUGUCGGGUAAGUUCCGACCUGCACGAAUGGCGUAAUGAUGGCCAGGCUGUCUCCACCCGAGACUCAGUGAAAUUGAACUCGCUGUGAAGAUGCAGUGUACCCGCGGCAAGACGGAAAGACCCCGUGAACCUUUACUAUAGCUUGACACUGAACAUUGAGCCUUGAUGUGUAGGAUAGGUGGGAGGCUUGGAAGUGUGGACGCCAGUCUGCAUGGAGCCGACCUUGAAAUACCACCCUUUAAUGUUUGAUGUUCUAACGUGGACCCGUAAUCCGGGUUGCGGACAGUGUCUGGUGGGUAGUUUGACUGGGGCGGUCUCCUCCUAAAGAGUAACGGAGGAGCACGAAGGUUGGCUAAUCCUGGUCGGACAUCAGGAGGUUAGUGCAAUGGCAUAAGCCAGCUUGACUGCGAGCGUGACGGCGCGAGCAGGUGCGAAAGCAGGUCAUAGUGAUCCGGUGGUUCUGAAUGGAAGGGCCAUCGCUCAACGGAUAAAAGGUACUCCGGGGAUAACAGGCUGAUACCGCCCAAGAGUUCAUAUCGACGGCGGUGUUUGGCACCUCGAUGUCGGCUCAUCACAUCCUGGGGCUGAAGUAGGUCCCAAGGGUAUGGCUGUUCGCCAUUUAAAGUGGUACGCGAGCUGGGUUUAGAACGUCGUGAGACAGUUCGGUCCCUAUCUGCCGUGGGCGCUGGAGAACUGAGGGGGGCUGCUCCUAGUACGAGAGGACCGGAGUGGACGCAUCACUGGUGUUCGGGUUGUCAUGCCAAUGGCACUGCCCGGUAGCUAAAUGCGGAAGAGAUAAGUGCUGAAAGCAUCUAAGCACGAAACUUGCCCCGAGAUGAGUUCUCCCUGACCCUUUAAGGGUCCUGAAGGAACGUUGAAGACGACGACGUUGAUAGGCCGGGUGUGUAAGCGCAGCGAUGCGUUGAGCUAACCGGUACUAAUGAACCGUGAGGCUUAACCUU
rnacentral:rRNA from 1 species